ACGUUAGCGGCGGACGGGUGAGUAACACGUGGGUAACCUACCUAUAAGACUGGGAUAACUCCGGGAAACCGGGGCUAAUACCGGAUAAUACAUGAAACCGCAUGGUUUCAUGAUGAAAGACGGUUUUGCUGUCACUUAUAGAUGGACCCGCGGCGUAUUAGCUAGUUGGUAAGGUAACGGCUUACCAAGGCAACGAUACAUAGCCGACCUGAGAGGGUGAUCGGCCACACUGGAACUGAGACACGGUCCAGACUCCUACGGGAGGCAGCAGGG
rnacentral:rRNA from 1 species